CACAAAAAAAAUGCACAUCUACCACCACAGCGAUGAAACACCAAAAAAACUAUGCAAAUCCUGUCGAUUGUGUCACUUGCAAAUGGGACAUACAGUAAAACUUAAAAAGCCCACUGUACCUGUGUUGAUUUAUAGAUGUUCCUGUUAGAUUAUAAAAUCAAUCAGAGUUGAACAGAAUUUGGGAGAAACUCACCUGUGAGUACAAGUCUGGCAUCCCCCUAGAAGCACUAUCUAGUUUGUGAACUAAAUUUCCUCGGACCCUCAAAGACUUGAAG